rnacentral:rRNA from 1 species
UCUUUUGCGCACUCANUGUUUCCUCGGCGGGCUUGCCCGCCGACUGGACAACUAUAACCUUUUUAAUUUUCAAUCAGCGUCUNGAAAAAACUUAAUAAUUACAACUUUCAACAACGGAUCUCUUGGUUCUGGCAUCGAUGAAGAACGCAGCGAAAUGCGAUAAGUAGUGUGAAUUGCAGAAUUCAGUGAAUCAUCGAAUCUUUGAACGCACAUUGCGCCCCUUGGUAUUCCAUGGGGCAUGCCUGUUCGAGCGUCAUUUGUACCCUCAAGCUCUGCUUGGUGUUGGGUGUUUGUCCUCUCCUCUGCGUUUGGACUCGCCUUAAAGCAAUUGGCAGCCAGUGUUUUGGUAUUGAAGCGCAGCACAUUUUGCGAUUCUAGCCGAUAAUACUUGCGUCCAUAAGCCUUUUUUAACNUUUUGACCUCGGAUCAGGUAGG